GCUCCAAUAGCGUAUAUUAAAGUUGUUGCAGUUAAAAAGCUCGUAGUUGGAUUUCUGGUGUUUGGGGGCGGUCCACCGCAAGGUGAGCACUGUUUCUGGGCAGCAUCCUCUCGAGGACGCGUGGUGCCAUUAACUUGGUGCUGCGUGGGCUCGGGACCUUUACUUUGAAAAAAUUAGAGUGUUCAAGCAGGCCUACGCUU
rnacentral:rRNA from 1 species